rnacentral:misc_RNA from 1 species
GAUGAAGAACGCAGCGAAAUGCGAUAAGUAAUGUGAAUUGCAGAAUUCAGUGAAUCAUCGAAUCUUUGAACGCACAUUGCGCCCGCUGGUAUUCCGGCGGGCAUGCCUGUUCGAGCGUCAUUUCAACCCUCAAGCUCUCCGGAGUUUGGUGUUGGGGCGCCUGGGGCUUUUCGACCUCAGGGCCCUCAAGUCCAUCGGCGAGACCGCCAGGACACUGAGCGCAGUAGUAUUAUUUCGCUCGGUAGGAUCUUCCACGGCGGGUCGAUCUGGCCGCUAAACCCCCCAAUUCUCACCAAAGGUUGACCUCGGAUCAGGUAGGAAUACCCGCUGAACUUAAGCAUAUCAAUAAGCGGAGGA